rnacentral:rRNA from 1 species
CGGCGGACGUGGUGAGUAAUGUCUGGGAAACUGCCUGAUGGAGGGGGAUAACUACUGGAAACGGUAGCUAAUACCGCAUAACGUCUUCGGACCAAAGUGGGGGACCUUCGGGCCUCACGCCAUCAGAUGUGCCCAGAUGGGAUUAGCUAGUAGGUGGGGUAAUGGCUCACCUAGGCGACGAUCCCUAGCUGGUCUGAGAGGAUGACCAGCCACACUGGAACUGACACACGGUCCAGACUCCUACGGGAGGCAGCAGUGGGGAAUAUUGCACAAUGGGCGCAAGCCUGAUGCAGCCAUGCCGCGUGUGUGAAGAAGGCCUUCGGUUUGUAAAGCACUUUCAGCGAGGAGGAAGGGUGGUGUGUUAAUAGCGCAUCACAUUGACGUUACUCGCAGAAAAAGCACCCGGCUAACUCC